AAGAGCCGGAUGCCUUAAUAGGGCACGUCCGGUUCUGUGAGGGCUUGAGGCCGCAAGGCCUCUGGCUACUCGAU
rnacentral:ncRNA from 1 species